GGAUGCGAUCAUACCAGCACUAAAGCACCGGAUCCCAUCAGAACUCCGAAGUUAAGCGUGCUUGGCGAGAGUAGUACUAGGAUGGGUGACCUCCUGGGAAGUCCUCGUGUUGCAUUCC
rnacentral:rRNA from 1 species